rnacentral:snRNA from 1 species
GGAUGUGAGGGCAAUCUGGUUGUGACAUCCGUCACCUCAUUGAUUGCCAGGGUUGAUUCAGCUGAUCUGGCUAGCUAGGUGGGUGUCCCAUUUCUACUGCUCCAGCUGCAUCCCAACCACAGCCCUGGGAUUGAUUAGGGCUUUGAUGCUCUAUGGAGGAGGACCAUUCUUCUGUUAAGGGUAUAGCUGUACUGUCUAGGUACUACUGUCAAGGGUAUAGCUUCUGUCAAGGGAGUAGCUGUACUCCCUU